rnacentral:rRNA from 1 species
GACGAACGCUGGCGGCGUGCUUAACACAUGCAAGUCGAACGGAAAGGCCCUGCUUUUGUGGGGUGCUCGAGUGGCGAACGGGUGAGUAACACGUGAGUAACCUGCCCUUGACUUUGGGAUAACUUCAGGAAACUGGGGCUAAUACCGGAUAGGAGCUCCUGCUGCAUGGUGGGGGUUGGAAAGUUUCGGCGGUUGGGGAUGGACUCGCGGCUUACCAGCUUGUUGGUGGGGUAGUGGCUUACCAAGGCUUUGACGGGUAGCCGGCCUGGGAGGGUGACCGGCCACAUUGGGACUGAGAUACGGCCCAGACUGCUACGGGAGGCAGCAGUGGGGAAUAUUGCACAAUGGGCGGAAGCCUGAUGCAGCAACGCCGCGUGCGGGAUGACGGCCUUCGGGUUGUAAACCGCUUUCGCCUGUGACGAAGCGUGAGUGACGGUAAUGGGUAAAGAAGCACCGGCUAACUACGUG